UUUUCCACUAAUACAAAUACUUUGUAUAAGUAUCAACUGAGUUUCCUAAAAUAUUUUGAUGAUAUUUCAUGAACACUGAGUAGUUUGCCAUCAGUGAAUCUGCUGGAGUUUAGAUUGUAAUGUAUAAGUGUGCAGUCCUAUAUUACAACUUUUUUUUUCCUUUAUUGAAAUGAAAUUUAUAGUUUUUAUUAUUGCAAUAGAUUUGCUCACAAUAGCAAGCAGAAGUAAAGCAGUUGUUGUUAAGAUGCAGUGAACAGUGCAGCUGCUGAAGCGUGCAGAGGUUUUUGUACAGCUGCUUUUUUACUCCAUUUUGUCCUAUUUCACAGUUUGUAUCACUGUGAUUAACUUUCGGUGGCGGCACAAGACUGGACGUUGGCAACUGGAGCCUGAGCUUGAAGGUGGACAGCAGCAGCAUCAGGUCUCAGGACAGCAGCGCUGGGCUCCUGCAGGAGGACGGUCUGUACAGCUGGAGCAGCAGCCUGACUCUCUCUCAGCAGCAGUGGAUGGAGAGCGUCUCAGUGAGCUGUGAGGCCACACGCAGCGGCCAGCCUGCCGUCACUCAACAACUGACCAGAGAUCAGUGCUCACAGUAGAUCCUGCUGCAGAUCCGUCCUGCUCGUGUCUCACUUCUGCUUCUCUGAUUUAAUUCAUAUAAGAGCAUGCAAUGAUUUUUCUCUUUUAUCUGAAAUAAAAGCCUUUAUAUCUUU